GAUGAACGCUGGCGGCGUGCCUAAUACAUGCAAGUCGAGCGAACAGAUAAGGAGCUUGCUCCUUUGACGUUAGCGGCGGACGGGUGAGUAACACGUGGGUAACCUACCUAUAAGACUGGGAUAACUUCGGGAAACCGGAGCUAAUACCGGAUAACAUUUGGAACCGCAUGGUUCUAAAGUGAAAGAUGGUUUUGCUAUCACUUAUAGAUGGACCCGCGCCGUAUUAGCUAGUUGGUAAGGUAGCGGCUUACCAAGGCGACGAUACGUAGCCGACCUGAGAGGGUGAUCAGCCACACUGGAACUGAGACACGGUCCAGACUCCUACGGGAGGCAGCAGUAGGGAAUCUUCCGCAAUGGGCGAAAGCCUGACGGGGCAACGCCGCGUGAGUGAUGAAGGGUUUCGGCUCGUAAAACUCUGUUAUUAGGGAAGAACAAACGUGUAAGUAACUGUGCACGUCUUGACGGUACCUAAUCAGAAAGCCACGGCUAACUACGUG
rnacentral:rRNA from 1 species